rnacentral:rRNA from 1 species
AACGUAGGAGACGAACGUUAUCCGGAGUUACUGGGCGUAAAGGGCGUGUAGGCGGUUUGUUAAGUCUGGCGUGAAAGCUCUCGGCUAAACCGGGAGAGGUCGUUGGAUACUGGCGAACUAGAGGAUGGUAGAGGCGUGUGGAAUUCCGGGUGUAGUGGUGAAAUGCGUAGAGAUCAAGAGGAACACCUGAGGUGAAGACGGGUUGCUGGGCUGACACUGACGCUGAGGCGCGAAAGCCAGGGGAGCAAACGGG